GAUGAAGAACGCAGCGAAAUGAGAUAAGUAAUGUGAAUUGCAGAAUUCAGUGAAUCAUCGAAUCUUUGAACGCACAUUGCGCCCGCCAGCAUUCUGGCGGGCAUGCCUGUUCGAGCGUCAUUUCAACCCUCGAGCCCCCCCGGGGGCCUCGGUGUUGGGGGACGGCACACCAGCCGCCCCCGAAAUGCAGUGGCGACCCCGCCGCAGCCUCCCCUGCGUAGUAGCACACACCUCGCACCGGAGCGCGGAGGCGGUCACGCCGUAAAACGCCCAACUUUCUUAGAGUUGACCUCGGAUCAGGUAGGAAUACCCGCUGAACUUAAGCAUAUCAAAAGCGGAGGA
rnacentral:misc_RNA from 1 species